AUCCAUUUGACAAGUCUCAAAUAGGACGAAACGCGCUUCCUGGAU
rfam:Schistosoma haematobium scaffold677_6, whole genome shotgun sequence.